AAACCAACAGGGAUUGCCCUAGUAACGGCGAGUGAAGCGGCAACAGCUCAAAUUUGAAAUCUGGCCUUCGGGUCCGAGUUGUAAUUUGUAGAGGAUGCUUUUGGCGCGGUGCCUUCCGAGUUCCCUGGAACGGGACGCCUUAGAGGGUGAGAGCCCCGUACGGUUGGACACCAAGCCUCUGUAAAGCUCCUUCGACGAGUCGAGUAGUUUGGGAAUGCUGCUCUAAAUGGGAGGUAAAUUUCUUCUAAAGCUAAAUAUUGGCCAGAGACCGAUAGCGCACAAGUAGAGUGAUCGAAAGAUGAAAAGCACUUUGAAAAGAGGGUUAAAUAGCACGUGAAAUUGUUGAAAGGGAAGCGUUUGCGACCAGACCUCUUCCUGGCGGAUCAUCCGGUGUUCUCACCGGUGCACUUUGCCAGGUGGAGGCCAGCAUCGGUUUUCGUAGGGGGAUAAAAGCUUGGGGAACGUAGCUCCCUCGGGAGUGUUAUAGCCCCUCGCACAAUACCCUUACGGGGACCGAGGACCGCGCCUUCGGGCAAGGAUGCUGGCAUAAUGGUCGUCAACGAC
rnacentral:rRNA from 1 species